CCCGCUCAGAAACUCAAAGGAAUUGACGGGGCCCGCACAAGCGGAGGAGCAUGUGGUUUAAUUCGAUGAUACGCGAGGAACCUUACCUGGGCUCGAACGUAAGAUGACUGUAGGUGAAAGCUUACAUCUCUUCGGAGCAUUUUACGAGGUGCUGCAUGGUUGUCGUCAGCUCGUGCCGUGAGGUGUCGGGUUAAGUCCCAUAACGAGCGCAACCCCUACCUUUAGUUGCCAUCAGGUAAUGCUGGGGACUCUAAAGGAACUGCCUACGCAAGUAGUGAGGAAGGCGGGGAUGACGUCAAAUCAGCACGGCCCUUACGUCCAGGGCUACACACGUGCUACAAUGGCCGAUACAGAGGGCAGCUACCUGGUGACAGGAUGCAAAUCUCCAAAGUCGGUCUCAGUUCGGAUCGGAGUCUGCAACCCGACUCCGUGAAGUUGGAUUCGCUAGUAAUCGCGCAUCAGCCAUGGCGCGGUGAAUACGUUCCCGGGCCUU
rnacentral:rRNA from 1 species